AGAAAGUUAGUCUAACCAAGACAGUUGAUUUCGGCUCAACAAAUCACAGAUCAAGUCCUGUGACUUUCUU
rnacentral:tRNA from 2 species